CUUCUCACCCUGGCCAGGGAUGGCACACUCCUGGCUACAUACACAGACCCAGCACUAGUGAGCCUAUCUGGUCUACAUGUGACCCCUGCAGGCCAGGUGCUGGUCUGUGGAUGGUGGUCCAACACUGUACUACAGGUGGGCUGGGAGGGAAAGAGUAAGCUGGCUAAUCUUGCUACUCAGGAGGAUGGAGUGAGGUACCCAGAGUCAGUCUGCUACAGCAGCACCACAUCAUCCAUCAUUGUGGGACAGGAAUGGAGUGACAACAUCCUGGUGUUCAGAGUGGAAUAGUGUGUACAUUGGCUGCUGAGUCAGGACAAGGUUGCUGAGGAUGUGGUGGACAAGGAUGACCGGAAUACACAGAAGGUGCUUGACCAAAUACAAGAGGCCGUCCCAUCAAUCAGUCAUCAAAGUCAGUUGAGAUGGACCAGAACAAGGCAGAAACUCAGCAACAUUUUACGCACUCAACUGCUCAGCACAGAAGACUACUGUCUGGUGAAAGGAUCGGCUGUAUCAAAGUCCUGUGAUAUGGGGGGACUUGGUCGUUCCAUGUGUGGGGAUUGCAUCAUGAAGGACAUUUUAGAUGACACUCACAAGGUGAGCAGGAGCAUUGUUAUUGAGUUGACAUGGCAACGGCACCAGUCGGACCCCCAGGAGCCUCAGUCCAGGACAACCCUUCCCCUCCACUGAUCCCUAGCUCCUCCCCUUUGACCUCCUGCUUCAAAGCUUCAUUGAACAAUACCGGUCUGCUGGAAUAUCUGAGCAUGUUGAGUUUUUACAAGCUGUUCUCAACAACUGCAAUGUCCCUGUUGAUCGAUCCACACUCCUGCCUAAGUAGUUUGUUAAGCUCCAGUGCCGGAGGUGGGUCAAGUAUUUCAGACACGCUGAGUUAUAGCAGUAGUUAUGGUAACACCAACAGUCACUGAUUGUGGACUUCACAACGAAUAGUACGAAGAAUAAAAAGUUGGAUAACUUUUUCCAUGCUUUGUUGGACUAACAGAGCAACACAUGGAAUAAUGGUAGAAAAUCUAGAAACAGUUAAACAGUUAUAGAUCGAAGCAUAAGCUAUCCACGGGGUCUACUUCUGCUUUCAAUAGUAGUAGCAUUAUGGACCAUCCUGGUUUGUCCUUUUAUGCAUCCAAAAUGUUCAAAGUGAACAUGCUUUUUACGCAGUUGCUGACAAAAAAAACUUUGUAUGAACACUCGUAGCACGAUGAAUACAUCGGUGUGGUUCAGACGCAAAUUCUUCCCAACAACAUAAACACGGUGCUUAAGGUGUACCCAUCAUGGUUUGUUACGAGCACUUCACACUCCAAGACAAAACAGCCUCGCAUUGAGCUGACACUAGAUAAAGCGUUGAAAAAUGACAGCAGUUUUGUCGUGUGGUCCAGUAUGCCUUUUGACUCCAACCCAACAUUAGGUAGAACUCAAACUCAGCCCUUAGCAAUCACAGCGAGGCCAGCAUGUCAUCUCACCUUCUUGAGCCUCAGUCAUUGGACGGCCUGUCAUGCGAACGAAUUCAAGAGUUCAAAGCAAAUAUUAUUAGCCAACAAUACAAACAUCGUUAAAGUAAAUGUCGAUGGAAAUCAGCGGCACCCCUUUCUUUAACAAAUACUACAACUCGCUCAAGAAAUUUAAGUACGAAGACGUAUUGCAGCAGCCUAGCACACCACAUCUUCUCCAAUGUUGGCUACAUCAACACUUCGAACAGCAGAGCCUUGAAGAGCACCAUCAUCGAUAUUGAUUUGGCGCAGCAACAGCACCAGUCCAGCCCGCAUGAGCCUCAGUCAAGGACGAACCUUCCCCUCCACCUGACCCUAGCAGCCUCAGUCCACGACGACCCUUCCACUCGACCUGACCCUAGCGCCUCCACCUUGACCUACGGCCUCAAAAGAUUACAUUAUUAUCCAAGAAGAAGAACAUUGUUGAAGUAAAUGUUGAAAACAGUCCAAACCCCCUUCUCACACAAAUACUACAAGUCGCUCGAGACAUUCAGCACGCCACCUAUGAACAUCUCGCACAAAAACAACAAGUUGUUCAAGAAAUUCAGCACGCCACCUAUGAACAUCUCCCACAAAUACUACAAGUCGCUCAAGAUUCAGCACGCCACCUAUGAACAUCUCCUACAAAUACUACAAGUCGCUCAAGAAAUUCAGCAUGCCACCUAUGAACAUCUCCCACAAAUAAUACAAGUCAUUCAAGAAAUUCAGCACGCCACCUAUGAACAUCUCCAACAAAUACUACAAGUCGCUCAAGAAAUUCAGCACGCCACCUAUGAACAUCUCCCACAAAUACUACAAGUCGUUCAAGAAUUUCAGCACGCCACCUAUGAACAUCUCCCACAAAUACUACAAGUUGCUCAAGAAAUUCAGCACGCCACGUAUGAACAUCUCGCACAAAUACUACAAGUUGUUUAAAAAUUUGGCAGGCCACAUAUGAACAUCUCCCAGAAAUACUACAAGUCGCUCAAGAUUCAGCACGCCACCUAUGAACAUCUCGCCCAAAUACUACAAGUCGCUCAAGAAAUUCAGCAUGCCACCUAUGAACAUCUCCCACAAAUACUACAAGUCGCUCAAGAAAUUCAGCACGCCACCUAUGAACAUCUUCCAAUACUACAAGUCGCUCAAGAAAUUCAGCAUGCCACCUAUGACCAUCUCGCACAAAUACUACAUGUCGGUGAAGAAAUUCUGCACGCCAUCUAUGAACAUCUCGCACAAAUACUACAAGUCGCUCAAGAAAUUCAGCACGCCAUCUAUGAAAAUCUCCCACAAAUACCACAAGUCGUUCAAGAAAUUCAGCACGCCACGUAUGAACAUCUCCCACAAAUACUACAAGUCGUUCAAGAAAUUCAGCACGCCACCUAUGAACAUCUCACAAAUACUACAAGUCACUCAAGAAAUUCAGCACGCCACCUAUGAACAUCUCCCACAAAUAAUACAAGUUGUUCAAGACAUUCAGCACGCCACGUAUGAUCAUCCCCUUGAAAUACUACAAGUCUUCAACAAAUUCAGCACGUCACCUACGAACAUCUCACAAAUACUAUAAGUCGCUCAAGAAAAUCAGCACUCCAGGUAUUAACAUCUUGCACAAAUACUACAAGUCGCUCAAGCAAUUCAGCGUGUCACCUAUGAACAUCUUGCAUGGUGGCUUGGUGAGUCUGACUUCUGUCUUGACAAGUCGCUCAAGAUAAAAUAAUCGGAUCUAACAGACAGAGCAGGUGCUGAGUGACUCGUCUGUUAACUUGACUGACCUCGAUACGUUGCUCUCGAAUAAUGAGAACCUUACGCACGAGGAACAGUGCUGUCCAACAUUCCCAGUUUUUGGUUGGCGACUUCACUGUCGGGACUCAGACAAUCUCUGCCUAUAGCCCUGCUGCAGCAGCAGCAGCAACAAAAACAGGGUUUUCAGUAUACAGAUAUGCAACUGGAGUGAUGAUAUGCCCUGAAGAUAUUUAUUAAUUAUACCCCCUGUUAAUUGGGGUAUAAUGGAAUCCCCUUGGACGGACGUCUAUCUGUCUGUCAUUCCAUCUGUCUGUGGGCGAUCACUUAACAAUUCAACGUUCAGCUUUCAAACUUUCAGGACCCCAUACAAUCACAGUUUGGUACUCAGCUGAAUUACAUGCUCUCUGGUGAGCUGGAGCUGGACGCCCAAGGACAAUUCCCGAGUAUAGGCGUCGAGCUCUUGGGCCAGGAAUUCGGGGCAAAGCUCAACGAGUCCUACCCCCAGGGUACAGCCACUCUAACCUUGGGGCUCCACACUUCACUGCUCAGGGGCAGAGAUUAUCUCAUCUACAAGCCUCAAUAUGAAUUGCAGCGGCAGCAGCAGAAGCAACAGCGCUCACAAUUCAACAAUAAACAGUUCCAUUGACGAGCGCUUUUAAAUGACAACAUGUCAAUGAACCAGGCACCUUUUUCUGAAAACCUCGCCGAGCUAAUGAACAGUGCAACUGCGCCAUAUGUGACCCUUCAGAGAAUGGAAUUCCUAGCCAAAUAUCUAAUCGGUGCCAAUCUGGGCUCCAGCAGCAGCCUCAGCCAUGGGGGACAGGUUUAUGAAGCAAUCUGGGCUCCAGGAGCAGCCUCAGCAGUGGGGGACAGGUUUAUGAAGCAAUCUGGGCUCCAGGAGCAGCCUCAGCCAUGGGGGACAGGUUUUUGAAGCAAUCUGGGCUCCAGCAGCAGCCUCAGCCAUGGGGGACAGGUUUAUGAAGCAAUCUGGGCUCCAGGAGCAGCCUCAGCCGUGGGGGACAGGUUUAUGAAGCAAUCUGGGCUCCAGCAGCAGCCUCAGCCAUGGGGGACAGGUUUAUGAAGCAGGGCUCUAGCAGCAGCCUCAGCCGUGGGGGACAGGUUUAUGAAGCACCCUGAACUUCUCAAUCUCACAGCAACAGUAGAUCAACAUGACCUCCAGCAGCAGCCUCAGCCGUGGGGGACAGGUUAAUGAAGCAGGGCUCUAGCAGCAGCCUCAGCCAUGGGGGACAGGUUUAUGAAGCAGGGCUCUAGCAGCAGCCUCAGCCAUGGGGGACAGGUUUAUGAAGCUUCCUGAACUUCUCAAUCUCACAGCAACAGUAGAUCAACAUGACCUGAAAGGUGGGGAUAAGAACUUCUCAAUCUCACAGCAACAGUAGAUCAACAUGACCUCUAGCAGCAGCCUCAGCCAUGGGGGACAGGUUUAUGAAGCAGGGCUCUAGCAGCAGCCUCAGCCGUGGGGGACAGGUUUAUGAAGCACCCUGAACUUCUCAAUCUCACAGCAACAGUAGAUCAACAUGACCUCUAGCCGCAGCCUCAGCCGUGGGGGACAGGUUUAUGAAGCACCCUGAACUUCUCAAUCUCACAGCAACAGUAGAUCAACAUGACCUCUAGCAGCAGCCUCAGCCGUGGGGGACAGGUCUCUAGCAGCAGCCUCAGCCGUGGGGGACAGGUUUAUGAAGCACCCUGAACUUCUCAAUCUCACAGCAACAGUAGAUCAACAUGACCUCUAGCAGCAGCCUCAGCCGUGGGGGACAGGUUUAUGAAGCAGGGCUCCAGCAGCAGCCUCUUCCAUGGGGGACAGGUUUAUGAAGCACCCUGAUCUUCUCAAUCUCACAGCAACAGUAGAUCAACAUGACCUCCAGCAGCAGCCUCAGCCAUGGGGGAUAGGUUUAUGAAGCAAUCUGAACUUCUCAAUCUCACAUCAACAGUAGAUCAACAUGACCUCUAGCAGCAGCCUCAGCCGUGGGGGACAGGUUUAUGAAGCAGGGCUCCAGCAGCAGCCUCAGCCGUGGGGGACAGGUUUAUGAAGCAGGGCUCCAGCAGCAACCUCAGCCAUGGGGGACAGGUUUAUGAAGCACCCUGAUCUCACAGCAACAGUAGAUCAACAUGACCUGAAAGCGGUUUGUGUUCAGUGUCUAACAGUAGUCUAAUGACCAAGCCACGUCAGCAAAGCAGCAAUAACAGCAGUCAAGUCGAGGAUCACCCAAAACCACUUGGUGCCUAGCGAUAAUUUUUUCUGCUACCAACUUGACCUGGUUAUUGUACUCACGCGGGAGUCAGGUUUAAGGUCACAUUAGGUUUAAAGGCUAAAAUCAGCAUAUAUGGUCAUGGUAGUAAGAAAAUUUAAGAUAAUAAAGGGACUUGUUGACCAACUUGAUGACCAAGUUAUUUAAUAUUGUUCCAAAUGUAUCUUUAAAGGAAAUGACUGCAAUACAGGGCAUCAUAAGAAAAUCUACAUACUUUCCCCUUUAAAUGUGUAAAAUUAACAAUAAACAAAAUGACUACAAAACAGGCAUUUCCAAGAACAUCUUUGAACAUUUUCCUUUAAGUAUUGCUCAAUCUUUCUCAGUGAACAAAAUGUAUGCAGAAAGAAAAACUUUGUCUCUAUAAAGAUUGCUCAAUAUGUUUUUACUGCAAACGGAUUUAUUACAGAACAGGAAUGUAUUUUUUAACAUUAUCGUUGAAAUUUCUCAACCAUUUGCAGUUAACAACAUGACUGCACAAUAUGGCAUCAAUGGCAAAGCAGAAGUGAUCAGAGGGGGUUAUAACGUGCAAGUCAAGAAGGCGACGUCCAUGACGAGACUGAAAACCCUGAUUACAAAAUGCAGAGUCUGCUCCCGAAGCAUUUGCAGACACAGAACAUGAACCCGCUGCAGUCAUCGUCUUCAGAUUAUAUCAUCUCUAUGGUGCAGGACCCUCAGUCUGUGAACACAGGGAACCUUCGACGCCAAUGACGAAAUCAAACCAUCCAAUCAGAAACACAUCCUGUUGCAGCAGUUAUUACCAUAUUGACCCCAGUCAAACAAAAGAAGCUCAGAGAUAAAUACUGUUUAUGGAGUUCUAGUCUCUCAUUACCUUGUGGUAUGUUGAGCACGUACUCUGACAGGUUCUAUCUUAUAAUUGUUUGACUGGUGGAAUAUAAAUGACCUUGUUCAAGUCGAAAUGUCAGAAUAACAAUUCAUAAUUCAAAUGCCGAAAAGUCAUAUCAACAGCCACAUUUGUUAUGUGACCAGCAAAGUUGUAUUCAAAGAGACACAAUAGUUUACUUUAUAUUUUCUUGUGACCAACCAAGUUGUAUUUAAUGAAAAACAAUAGUUUAUGUUUUAUGGGAAUUAUGAUGCUGUUAGUCAUGUUAUGUUGGACGUUUUAGUUAAAUAUAGUAUGUUACAAACUGUAUUAUUUGAAGCACACAUAUUGCAGGUAUAUCCAAUGUCUGUGUCUGUAUUAUGAACCUUUCACUUCAGAUUUUGAUCCGGAUAUGGUAAAUUUAAGGGAAAUACAAUCAUAACAAAGUUAUUUUAAGAUUAUCAAAGCUGUUUAAAUGUUUAUGGUAACUUGGACACAAUUGAAAAUAUAUUGGCGUAUUGUCCAUGUUUCAGUUUUCUGUUUUACCAGUAAUAUAGAUGUGCUCAUUAAAAUAAUGCUUCAAAGAGGUUGAGAGUUAUGAAAGUUCAGCUUUUCUGUAUAUCAAUCUUUCUGAACUCAAUACUUGUCAAUUUGCUCAUUCGGGUCGGUAUUUGAUCCAAAAUCUUGUUAAGUAGCAUACUAUUUCAAGGGAAUAUAAAUUAAUUCUGGGAAAAAGUUUUUAAUCUACUUAAAUUUAUUGAUUUUUUGUUACCACCAGUACUUUGUUGAUUUCAAUUGCUAUGGUUUGCUAAAUAAUUAAAGCAUGACUGUUGUUUUAUUUGGAAAGCUUUUAAUAAAACUCAGAAUUAAAAACAAUAUUUAAAAAAAAAGAUGAGUUUUAUGAAAAAUGGCACAUUUUAUGUUUGUUAAUUUGUGUUGUAAGAUCAUACACUUACAUGCUCAUAAGUGUUAACAUUCGAUUUUGGAUGUUAAAGUUUAUAAUGCUUUAUAUAUGCAUAUGUAGAUUUACACAACCAGAUUGUACCUUCUUAAAUCAGUGAGUAAUUUAACCCAGAUUUCUUGAUAACUGUUUAUAGGUAUAUUUUGCCAUUUAUACAUAGAGCAACUGCAAAGCGAUUGUAUUUUCGAUGUAAAUCAUACAUUUAGUGUUGCCAUUGUUUAAACUCACUGUUUACAUUUAUUUGUACACACCAUUGUUAUAAAACAACAUUGCUUGUGUAAAUGCACAUAUAUGUAUAAAAACUGUUUAAUAAUGCAGCAUUAAAUAUUCUGAAGAGAAAAGGAUAUUUACGGCAAUAGAAACACCUUGUUAUAUGCUAUGCUUUUCAUCGAAUGAAUUUGAGCAACUAUUAAAAUGAAUUUAUUUCUUCUUUAAUUUUAACUAAAUACAACGAUAGUACCUUGAAAUUAGAAAUGAGUCAAUUACAAAAUAAGGGAGAGUGAUGUCAUAUGUUAACAAUUGUCAGGCAUAGCAAUUGCCUCUAUUGGUAAUAUAACAGAGCAAUAUUAUUUGCUUAAACAAUACAAAUUAAGAUGUCUUUUUUUGUUAGAUAAUAAUUGUGUUUACAACUUGAUAUAACGAGUAAAUACAUACAGAAUUUCAAAUUAUUUCGCAAUAUAUACUCGGCAAUAAGUGAAAGUCUAAAAGGAUUUUGUGGAAUAAACAAUUUGCAAAUUAUUUGCUUGUUUCAUGAAGUAAUAGUUAAGGUAAAAUGUGGUACUUAUUGUUACACAAACACAAUGUGUAAUAACAAAAUGCAUCAGUAAUGACAUUUAUUAAAAUUCCUUAAAUUUGCAUGACUACUCAGUGCUUUGAGUUUUGUAAUUGUGACGAUUAUAAGUGAAUAUUCUGCAAAAAAUACCUCUAUACGAAAUGUGUAUAUUUCAAUAAUAAUGGUAUACUUGUAUGCAAAGUACUUGAAUAGUUUUGAUGUAUUGCUGAUAAAGAAUUGUGUAAUUGUACUAGUCCUAUUCCAGUUUGUGUAACGUUGACCGUUCAACAUAAGCUGUCAGUGGAGUGAAUUCACUGGGGCCAGUUUCUGUAAAUCUUCCGAUUUAAAACUGCAGCAUACACGUAUGUCUUAAAUCCAGAUUUACAUAACAGUGUGGUUGUUUAUCUUGAAUUUGUAUUGAAUGCAUAAAACAUGUUUGUUCUGUUUUUGAACAACUGAAGAUAGCUUUAAAUGUGUACAUUGUGUUUCAUUUUUAGAUAUAUCAAAUUGAUACAUAGAAAACAAAAUACAAAAUGUGCAAUAAUUGGUGUGCAUGUUUAGCCCAAAAAAUGUUUUCAUACAAGCAUAUAAGUAUUGGACUAUAUGAUACUGUAAGAUGAAAUGUUUAAAUCACGUCAUGAUGUGUUCAUCUACUUUAAAUAAACAUUUUUCAUAAGUAGAUAUUGGCUGUAUAAACUCUAUUGAAACUGCCCCCAAUUCAUUUUAAUUGCUUUUGUAAAUAUAUUCAAUAUGUAACAUUAUUGUUAAUGGUAUGUUUAUAGUUAAAGUGUAAGUGUUUCUCUAAACUGUAACCGGGUGUCUGUUUAAUUUAUUGAGAUGUGUUUAUAUUGUCCGGCUUAUUAAAUUAAAUAUUGUGCAAAUUGUCGCAUUGUGGUUGUUGUGAUAAAAACAAAGCACUUUCCACUACU